AGAACCAGCAACGCAACUUCCAUCAGCUGAGCACCGCGCACGCUGAAGGGAGUUCUCACGUGUGUGUGUGCGUGCCGCGCUUCCUCUCUACCCAUCUCCCGGCCGGCCGGCCCGCUCGCCCGCCCCCUGUUCGUCCCCCUCCCUUGUCUGCGCGUCUGUCCCGUGUCGUUUAUUCCUUUGCUGUUUCAUUACGUCUUUUCGGUUUGUGCCUGCCAAGAACACCGCACCCGGUUGUCUGGGCCGCGCCCGUUUCGGCUCGUCUCUCUCUCUGUGUGUGUGUGUCUGUCUUUGGCCUGCCAUCCCCCUCUCGAUACACAUACACACACGCACACACACACACACACACACACACAUAUAUAUAUGUAUAUGUAUAUGUAUAUGUGUAUGCAUGUGUGUGUGUGUAUAUUUCAGCGCCAUCGCCACGCACGAUAAUUCGGGUUCUCCCAAAGCGCGACCCACGCCCUCUUCCAGGGGUGGGGGAGACGAGCACCAGCAACCGAACCUCAAAAAGGAGUCCGAUCGCUGGAGUGUGGCUCUCCACCGUUUUUCGAGCGAACCACGGGCUCACUUCUACUCGCACCCCUGCACCGUAAAGAGUGGUGUGCGCAGGAGGAGUGUUGGGGGGGGGACUUUGCUGCUCACUAUUAUUAUUAUUUUUUGGAUUUCGCUUGGUCAACAGCCGCGGCCGACGACGCGUGUCGGUCUUUGUUUGCUGUCGUCGCCGGGUAUUAUCAGUUCCAGUAGAUUUCUUUGUUUUGCUUACUCGGCACUGUUGUACUCCUCUGUCGUACUUUGUUGUCAAACAUCUCGCUGCACACUUGUGUGUGUGUGUGGUCUCGUUGUUUCGCGUGUCUGCCGUAGUCGAUCUUCUGUUUGCGCGUUCACUAUUUCCUUGCGCUAUCCACAUACAUGUAUAUAUACAUACACAUAUACAUGUACCUCUAUCUGUGUACAUACAUCUGUGUAUAUUGAAGCUGCUCUCGUCUGCACGCCGAUCACGGCGCGUUACUCUUCCGUUCUUCGCGCCCCCUUUUGUUUUUCCAUUUUUGUCCCUUUCCGGGGGCUGGGUAUCAGAGAAACGGAACUGCACGUCCUUAUUUUUCGCUUUUUUCCCUUUUAGAAGACCGUUCUCAUAUACCUCCCCUCUCACUCCCCCUCCCCCUCCCCCCACACACGCUCAGAAACGAUCACACAAACACCGCUUUAUCUCUGUUGUCUUUCUUCGCUUAUUUUUUCCUUUUGGUUACCCCCCCCCUCUACCUUUUCUGCGUGCUUUUUGUUGUUUGCUUGUAUGCUCUCUGUUUUCACUUCUCUCCGUCUUUCCAAGCCCUGUGUAGUGUGCGCGCAUCCUCGUUUCCAUUUCGGGUUGUUCAUCAUUGUAUUUCGUUUCGUGUUUUCUUGUUUUAUUCUUUUUUUUUGUCCAUAUCAUUUGUGCUCUUCCCGUUCAGGACUGGAGAGGCACCUGUGUUCUCGUCGCUGGGGUACGCUUUCCCUGUGUCAGGCCUCGAGGAGGCGUUGCUGUGUCUCUGUAUCAGAAGGGGCAGAAGCGAGGGCCUUGCUCCACCUCUGCCUUGCCGUUGCCACGUACAAAGAGCUUCACAAUCACGUGCGUAGUGCGUAGAUCCUUUUUUGUCUUUCCUGAUUACGUUGAAACUGCUCCUCUGUGCCACUUGCCAGCUUGCAGGUGGUGGGGCGUCGAUCAGGCCCUGCAGCUGGACGUCAGCGUUGUAUCCGCUUCUUCCUUGUGUGCGUGUCCGUGUGCAGGGCUUCUUUGAAGAUUCGUUCCGCCCUUUCGCUCAUCACCCUCUCCUGGUGCUUGUUUCUCCGCUGCGUGCCUAGCGCACCUCCACCACGUGUUGUUUCGGCGUCUCGCUGUGUUGCUUCGUGUGCCGACUUUGCGCUCUCCUCCCCCAUUCAGGCUGUUAAGGAUUUCUCUUUCUCUGCGUGUCGGAUGAUUUCUGCGAUGCAGUGCUCAUCUCAACCAUCGUCCACGACGUCUCUGCACGCUGAGCCGUUUGGCAGCUCCACACCCAUGUGCUCGAUGAUGGGUCCGUACACCAUGAGCGACGAAGGCGCGGCUCGUCCCCCUGCCAUGAUGGGCUCCGCAGCCGGGUUGGCGAUGGCGUUUUCAGCGUUCUCAUCUGGUUUCUACGGCCACGACGAUGCUGCACACCCGUAUCAGCGUGCAGCAAGCUUGCGCGAAGGCCCACGCAGUCGAGCAAGCUCUCACCAAGGCGUGUCUUCGGCAGCGCAGCUCUACCAAUACGCAGAGAGCAAUGACGGCUGUGGCUACUCUCGCGUGACUCUCUACGGCGCUCCGUGCGCCAUCGCGGCCGCUGCCUUCACCGAGCCGCGUUUCGGGUCUGCGCAGCGUACAAACUCUUUCGCCACGUCCGGUACGGCACUGAGCGACUGCCACCUCUCCCGGAAAGACGGCGGAGGGUUCACUCCGGCAUCGGCUGGCACCUUUCUCAACUCUGACGACAGCUUCGGGGGCCGUAGCGUGAACUCGCGCCGCAGUCUGCACGACAGCCUGACGGCCCCGGCGAGCUCGAUGUCGUGCUCUGUGCGAGGAUCUGUCGGCUCUGGCUACUACUACGUAGAUACCACGUUUCGGAGGGACGAGCACGAUCACGGCAAUGUCACGCGCACCGCGGACGGCGCCGUAGUACUGAGCGCAGCGCAGCACCGACUCUCUGACUCGACUCAUCUGACAUCGCGAGGCGGCGCCUCCUCGCGUCUGUCCAGAGAGAAUAUCUUUGAUCUAACGCGGCGACUCGAUGCUGCGGAGAGGUGGACGACCAAUACAGAAACGCUGCACGCGCCGCCGCAGCUUCACCUCUCGGGGUUCUCGACUUCGCGGAAUGACAGGUUAGGGUCACCGCGCAAGAGGGGCACCAUAAAGGACGACACGCAGUAUGCUUCGGCGAACACCGCCUCUCCCGCCUCAGCGUCGUUCGGAAACGGGCUCGGCCCCACUGGCUGCUCGCCUUUCUGCGACCUCGGCACAGGAGCGGUGGAGAGCAACAAGGCAGGCCAAAGCCGCUCAGCAGUGCUCAAGAGAGACGACGUCGUGCCCACGACCACAGCAGAGAUACAUUGGAGCCGUCACUCCUCCAGCCUUCGAAGAAGGCCGGCGUCCGAGAGACGAGCCACCGUGGACACCGAGGGAUCGGCAUCUGCGUCUUCAGCGAGCAGUACCACCACGUCGGCGGCACCGAGACAGCCAUCUCUCCUGCCCAAGACGCUGAAUGGCGCGUCCACAGAGCCGAAGGAAACGGCAUGUAGUCUGGGCUCCGUCGACAAGUCGACGCCGCCCGCCGGUCAUGCACCGCAGUCGGCGUCCCGCAAGCCGCGCCGCAAGGAUCCGCGGAAGUGGAACAACUCUCGGUCGACCAGCAUCGCAGCUCCGCAUUUUGAGAUGGAUGGGGUUGCAUCAUCGACAUCAUCCUCUGACCCUGCAGCAUCGAGGGCGACCACAGACGCGCAUAGGCGGAAAGUGGCCGCCACGUCGUUGACCGGAGCACCACCCGCAGCGCACACAGAGGAUGAUGAAAGCGGCUGCCACUCAUCUCUCGCCUCUCAGCCGCCGCAGCCGCUUCAGCAACAGCUGAACCCGGCCAGGGCACCAAACAGCGCCACGUCCGCCUUCACAGUCUCUCCGCCCUCGUACAACGAGCGACACCAACGGCCGUUUCUGCGACGGCGCUACCUGGAGGGCCAGGUGAAGCCCCUGAGCGCCACGGAGAUGCAGAUGGCGAUGGUGCCCUUCUCGCCCCGUCGAGAUGUGCCGCCAAGUCGUAGCAGUACCAGCGGUCCUGCGACGCAGGCGCCUCUGAAGCCUGCCGUUCCGCUGCCGCCGUUACAAUACGAUCAAGUCACGGUGCCUGGCACGGCGCCGGCGUGGAGCCCCAGUGGAACAGCCAGCAGCUCUACCAGCUUCAGCGUGACUCCCGAAAAGUUCAUCACGGUGGCAAGUGGCGGUGGCGCUUGGAGGACGCAGCAGAGGCUCGCCGGGUUCACCGGCUUUCAUCUCUCUAUCGGGAUGGAGGGGCUGUGCGUCACGACAGAGAGCUCCAACGAGAAGUCCCUGCGUAGCCUUGGUGGGCGAAGCGGCACGGAGCUGCGCUUGCCGGGAGAGUCUAGCAACGGCAUCAUGAGUCGCUCAUGCCCCUCGGUAGAAUAUUCCGUGGACGAAGGCACGAACCCCUUCUUGAUACAGCGCAGUGCGUCGUGGUCAGUGCACUCAGCACGCAGCACCACUGAUUCUGGAGAGGUUCCCGGUAUCGCACGCAAGAAGCGCCAAGCAGAGCGUAUGCUGUCGAACGCACAUGAGCUAGAGGAGGAACACGUGAUAAUACACCCGAAGCCGUCCAAGUAGAGACGUCUGAAAAUGCUUUGCCUCAGCAGGGAUAGCUGUGCGAAGAGGGUGUGAAGACGAACACCACGUGUUUGCCUCUGCUAACGAGGUGCGUGCCGAAGCGUUUCAUGGGUUUCUUUUUCUUCCGCUCGGUUGCUUGCUGGGGAGUCUGCGGAUUUCUUUUGUUUGCUGCGGUCUGUCGUCUCAUUCAUCCAUGUUUGCAUCUUCCACUUCCCGUCGCGUUGGGAGGGCGGGCGGGGGUACGACGGCACCCUUUAUUAUUUUUGUGUGUCGGGGAAUUCUUGUUUUGAUGGUGAUUGCAUGGACUUCUUUCGCGGAUUUCAUUUUUCCCCGUAGCGGUAGAGUCUAUGCUCUGCUCGCCAUUCCCCGAGCGGCUGUUUCCUGUUCAGUGUUUUCUGUCUCUUCCGCAACCCCCUGCCCAGCUGUUCCGUUAUACUGUUUCGUUCGUCUGUUAAGAAGCGACCGGCUGCGGCUCUAGAGGUUGCCUUCCUCCUCCCUCUCUCCCUCCCAAAUCCUUGCCUCUUCAGCGUGCACCGUCGUAAGGCUGUAGGGCUUGGCACAGGGUUGAAAAAGCAAGUGGAGAGGCGGGACGGACAAAAAUGUAUGCCUCGCCGCAGGCCUCCCGUACGGGCACGUUUGCAGUGCUUAAAAUGAUUGAAUUCCUUGUUUUUUUUUUGAAAAGCAUAGUUCAGUGCCUCACCUGCUUCGUUGCCAACGCACAUGGGCCAGCGUGCAUCGCACUGCAGCUGCUUGCGCGCACGAUCACCUACUAUUACCGCCCCUCUGAGCACGUGCGGCACGAAAGUGGUGGAUGGCCUACGCCCCUUGUUUGUUUUUAUUUGCUCCCCUUCGCUUUUCUUUUAGCGCGUGCCCAUGCUGAGUGAGGUAUUGUGCGCUUUCCUCUUCGUGCCUUGCAGCCCGCAUACUUCGACAGCUAACAGCGGCCUCCCAAGGCAUGGCUGUAAAGGGAAUGCCGGGUUAGCUUUUCCGCGUCUCCAGUUGCUUUUACGUUGGUGGUGCUGUCGUCAUAUCACGGUACUGGUGAAGCUCUCAUAGGCGACCAGAGCGCUGCUGCGUUCCUGAUGGGGAUCAGUGGUGCCGUUGCCGUUCAAGUUGCGCCGUGGGCGCACACAAACAACGAGGGGCCCGGAGAAACGGGGAAGACCGAUGCGGCGCUCAUGUGUUGGGCCUCUCUGUAAAGGUUCCUGAGCGCCUUCCACGCUGUUCGUUUCCUGAUGCUCCCACGCUUUUUCCCACUUGAGCGUAGUGUGUGCUCUUCGAUACUGCCUUCGCACAAGUGCUCAUGCCGUUCUAUACUCCGCACUUUGCCAGAUUUUUUUUUCUUUCUGUCGUCAUGACGAGCAGCAUGGAAUGGAAACUGCGCAGCACGUAGGGGGGGGGCUAUACCCCCUCUUUCCUCUCCGAUGUGCGUGACGCUGCUAUUUUAUUUGAUCGGGUUUUUUUUUCGCUUUCGCCUCGUCUUCCUUCAAGUGCCCUUUCCUUUCUCUGUGUGCGCGUGUUUGCGUGUUCCCUUCAAUCGUAGUGGUGCGGCACUCCGUCGCGCUCUCUCUUCUUGUUCGGUCGUUGUCGCUCUUUCCAAUUUGUAUUCUUCACACGAUGAAAAAAAAUAAGCGAAAACAUAUUUUUCUCCUUCACAUAUAUUCCCAGUACGACGGACGCCCUCUCUCCUGUCUCCUUCCUCCCCCCUCUUCCCCCAUUUCGCGUUUCGACUCUUCUGCAUCCUUCUCUCUCUCCCCCAUCAAAUCAUCCCUCCUCCCAUGCUUUCCCCGUCGCUUCGACACUUCCUCUCGUCUCCUCCCUUCUUUUUUUUGAAACUGUUCCGCUCACGUCGCUCGACACUUCUUAAUCAUCGCUGUCGAGACCGGAGCUCUGUGUGUGUAUGGGGGGGCAUACGUGUGACUCACGUCGAAGUGUUCGGUACAACGCAUACCCGCACCGUCCCCAUCAACUCACCAUCCCUCACCCACAUCUGAUAACAAAUAAAAAUGAAGAAUGCAUCCAUAAAUCUCUGCCGACUGUGAUACAGCGAAGUUUGUUCGUCGGCACGUUAUCGGCAAAUAAUCGGCGAGGGCCUCGCACGCGAAAGAACCACCCCGGCACGGCCACGCAGUGGCUGUGACGCCACUGUCCCUCGGUACUUUCUUUCCUUCCCCUAUCCAUCCCGUUCUGUGGCAGGGUAUUCUGUUGGUCGGAAGGCACAGAAAUGAUGUACAAGGACCUUCCCCAGCCGUCUUGAAUGCAGAGUGGACUGUGCUUUCCCGUGUGUGUGUGUGGUGCCGUUCUGCCUCCAUAAUUUUGGUGCGCCCCUCUCCCUCUUUCUCUGUGUUUGUGAGUGUGCGUGCCUGUGCGUGUCUGUGUUUUAGUAGGUUGGAGGACGGCGCUCUUCACGGCAGCGCAUGGAGUGUCACCUCCGAGCUCGCACUCAUUCUGCGCUCUGCUUUCGGGUUGCCUUGUGUGCUCGUUGUUUACAUCUUCAUCAAGCUGUGUGGGCGACUCCGCUUUUCCUUUUUUGUUUUGUUUUCUCGCUGAACCCCGAUUUGCUGCCUCCUCCGCUCUGUGGCUUCGCCUGUGGUGCUGUUUUGUUUUCCUUUUUUCCUCUCCCAUGGCCGUCUUCAUGAGGCGGAGACACCUCCGUGCGUGGUAUCGCAGGGAGCACCUCCCAAACUCUGUGCCAGGCAGUCAAGCAGCCCCUCACCCCACCCCUUAACCCUGCCAAUGCUGAACCACCUCUGGUGGUGACAAGGUCAAGCACCAACGGGCUGGGGCGGCCAGGGCGAUGUAUCGCUGCUGAUGUUGGCGUUCAGGUCCUGGCUGACGUGGCGUCGGCGGGGCCGGCGACCGUGCACGCGUUUCUCUCACUUAUAUGAUGCGCGAAGUGUCAGGGGAACUCGAGUGUACCCCACGCCCCGCCCUCGCGCUGCGUGCUGGUGUGCGGAGCCGGCGUGUCACCCCGAGGAGGGGGAUGCACCAGGGGGUGGCGGCCGGCACAGUGGGAGCGGCUGUUAGGAGGCGGGUGAGCUGAGCUCGAGGCAGGGACCGUUCGCUGAGAUAACGGAGUCGGCGCAUCUGCUGUAGCGCGCGUCUACCGCUGCCAUCGCACCACGCAGAUGGGGGGCUGUGGGGCUUGGUGACAGGUCAGAUGGGUAUAGUGGCGUUUUGGGCUCAAGUUGUGCGACAGGGAAAUGGGCACACUAAAACAAAACGAAAAAAAAAUAAUUCGUUCCUCGUCUCCCUCCCUCCCUCUUUCUGAAGGUGUGCGUGUGCGGGCGCUCCGUUGGUCACACGUGUGCGUGAGAGGGAGGUCAUCCGUCGUUUUUUCCUUUGGCGGUGUUAUUCUCUCUUUUUCUCUUCAGUUGCAUUUUCUUUUUCUUUUUUUUUCGACGCUUCCGUUUUUCGUGCCUCUGUUGUACACGCUCUCAUAAUUUAUCGUUAUCCACCUGACGGGGCCGUGCCAGCGACUCUCGUUAGCACAUGCAUGCAAAUCAUUGCACACACUCCGUGUUCCCCUCCCUCCCUCUCUCUGUCUCCCUCGCACAUGGACAGUGUCCCGCUCCCAUAUUCUACUUCACAAUGCCUCGUUCGUGAUUCCGGGAACUCGAUGCACCGUUGCUGCACUGUCGUCUGCGUGAAAUGCAGAGUCUCCUUUUUUUGUUUGUUGCCGCCUCUCGCUAGCCGUGGCUUUGCCCCGUGUCCGGUUCUCUCUGUGGAUACUCUCGCAUUACUACUCCAUCCUUUUCGGAGAACCAGUGUUAACAGAUGGAGCGUGGCCGUCUCUCCUCCCGCCCGCUGGCACGCGUCCCCGUGAGAAAAAGUCUAAUGUACACGGCCUGCCUUCAUAUAUAUGUAUGCGCGUGAUGGAGCAGUUGGGGGUAUCGUGCGGGCUAUGGCCACGAAUCAAAUACAAGCGGGGAGAUGCCGUUGCAAUUGCAUGUCUUUGUGUUGCUCGAGUGGUGGAGAGUGAGGUGUAUGACGCGUAUUGGGGACUCAUCGACACCUCUUAACACCCGUCUUGGGUUCCCAAGAGACCUGCUAGUUUGUGCUUGCCGAUAGAAGCAUGUUUGGCACUCUUAUCGGCUUCACCUGAUCAGUGCGGUGCGUUCAUUUGUCAUUGAAGAGCGUGUGGAGGUGGGCUCUACUCCUAUUAUUAAACCCUCUUGUCGGCCUCGGUGCAACCAUGAGAUGUGCUGUCUCAAUGUGUGCGGUAUCACAGCGGAUGAAGCGGGUUCGCUGACUUAGGUGCCUGUGUGUCCGCCUGGGCGAGCACAUUUGUGCAGCUCUAUGCCUCUAGCCGCCGCCCUCGUUGUUGUUUAGGAAUGCUCGAGAAGGUCGGCCUCUACAGAUACAUAUACAUAUAUGUGAGAGUAUUAUUUUGCCGGCUCUGAGGUGUGCUGCGCAUCGGCAUCGGGACUGUUAUACGGCUGUGUGAGUUCUCUUGUGCAUAUGCAUCUGUUAUGUCGUCUGAGUGCUGUUUGGCUGUCGUUCUCGUUUUCUCUGCUUUGUUGAGGUCUCGUGUGUGUGUGUGUGUCUCCGUCUCUCCUGGCCUUGUCACGUGCUGCGGGCACGUUCGAUCAUGCGUUG
rnacentral:misc_RNA from 1 species